rnacentral:rRNA from 1 species
AAAAGCUUCUAGCGAUACGUAUACUCUACCCGUACCGCAAACCGACACAGGUAGUCGAGGCGAGUAGCCUCAGGUGAUCGAGAGAACUCUCGUUAAGGAACUCGGCAAAAUGGCCCCGUAACUUCGGAAGAAGGGGCGCUGACUGAAGGUCAGCCGCAGUGAAUAGGCCCAAGCAACUGUUUAUCAAAAACACAGCUCUCUGCUAAAUCGUAAGAUGAUGUAUAGGGGGUGACGCCUGCCCGGUGCUGGAAGGUU